UGCACCUUUAAAAUUUUAGCGGCGGACGGGUGAGUAACACGUGGGUAACCUACCUUAUAGAUUGGGAUAACUCCGGGAAACCGGGGCUAAUACCGAAUAAUACUUUUUAACACAUGUUUUAAAGUUGAAAGACGGUUUCGGCUGUCACUAUAAGAUGGACCCGCGGCGCAUUAGCUAGUUGGUGAGGUAACGGCUCACCAAGGCAACGAUGCGUAGCCGACCUGAGAGGGUGAUCGGCCACACUGGGACUGAGACACGGCCCAGACUCAUACGGGAGGCAGCAGUAGGGAAUCUUCCACAAUGGACGAAAGUCUGAUGGAGCAACGCCGCGUGAGUGAAGAAGGAUUUCGGUUCGUAAAACUCUGUUGCAAGGGAAGAACAAGUAGCGUAGUAACUGGCGCUACCUUGACGGUACCUUGUUAGAAAGCCACGGCUAACUACGUGCCAGCAGCCGCGGUAAUACGUAGGUGGCAAGCGUUGUCCGGAAUUAUUGGGCGUAAAGCGCGCGCAGGUGGUUCCUUAAGUCUGAUGUGAAAGCCCCCGGCUCAACCGGGGAGGGUCAUUGGAAACUGGGGAACUUGAGUGCAGAAGAGGAUAGUGGAAUUCCAAGUGUAGCGGUGAAAUGCGUAGAGAUUUGGAGGAACACCAGUGGCGAAGGCGACUGUCUGGUCUGUAACUGACACUGAGGCGCGAAAGCGUGGGGAGCAAACAGGAUUAGAUACCCUGGUAGUCCACGCCGUAAACGAUGAGUGCUAAGUGUUGGGGGGUUUCCGCCCCUCAGUGCUGCAGCUAACGCAUUAAGCACUCCGCCUGGGGAGUACGGUCGCAAGACUGAAACUCAAAGGAAUUGACGGGGGCCCGCACAAGCGG
rnacentral:rRNA from 1 species